ensembl:processed_transcript Platr14 pluripotency associated transcript 14
GCAGGAGAGAGUUUUAGGUCUUUUGGAAUGGGGACAGCAUAUAUGUAAGAUGUAGCUGCUAGAGUUUCCCGGUAUCAUGGCGGAUGUGUAAGGAUUCGCCACCAGAGGAAUCAGAUUUUAAUAAGGCUUACAAGAUUAGGUUUUAGUUGUUGUGCCCAGAGAUUGAGUUACCAUUGUUUCUGAACUAAGUUUGUGUUGGCUUUCCCUUCACACAGUGGGGGCGGCUCAUCUGGGUUCAAGAGAGAAAGGUAUCCUGUAAAGCAUGGGUGUGCUAAAUGUGCAACACAAAGGUUGUGGGGGAUUUGAAGCACAGGUGGGCUUGGGUUCAGACUACAAACUGCUUCUGUGUGACUAAGAGAAGAAGAAUCAGAGUAAAGAGAAACAUACUCUCUUAAUCUCCGAAGAUUAACGGCAGGAGGAGCUCUAGAAUUUCACAAAGGUGCUGUCAGGACACAUGAAAAUCUAGAGAAAAAGACCAGCUUGAAGAGACCAAAAAGAAGAAAGCCUGCCAAUCACAUCCUCCAGAGAUUCUGAGACACACACACCCCUGGUGUAGGGGGACACCAUCUGAAAGGUGACACCCACUCUACGGAAUAUAAGUACCAGCUAAAGAGGACACACACUUGAAGAAAAAGGAGACAAUGAGGUCUUGUGAAUGCUCUAAUUUUUCAAAGCUUACUUUUAAUGAUGGUUCUUAAACGCUUUAACCUCCCUUCUAGUCCACCACCCACCAAAGGUAGUGAAAAGAAAGGUGAUUAGGAUACAGGCAA